rnacentral:rRNA from 1 species
UACGGGGGGGGCAAGCGUUGUUCGGAAUUACUGGGCGUAAAGGGCUCGUAGGCGGCCAACUAAGUCAGACGUGAAAUCCCUCGGCUUAACCGGGGAACUGCGUCUGAUACUGGAUGGCUUGAGGUUGGGAGAGGGAUGCGGAAUUCCAGGUGUAGCGGUGAAAUGCGUAGAUAUCUGGAGGAACACCGGUGGCGAAGGCGGCAUCCUGGACCAAAUCUGACGCUGAGGAGCGAAAGCCAGGGGAGCAAACAGG